UGAUCGGCUGCCCGGGGCUGCCAUCAUGGGAAGGGCGAAGUAAAGGAGGGUAGUCAGCUGCUGCCGCCCUCUUAGGGAGGUCGUAAAGCCAAAGGGCUCAGAUAGGGAGCUCGACCCUGGGAGCAGGUUUGGCGGAUCGGAAGGGACGGGCAGAUGGUUGGUGCCAUCUCUCUUUCUCUUUGCCUCCCCCACUACGGAGCAGGCUUGGGGGGAGGCAGCACGCUUGGAUGGAGGAAGGAAUGAAGGUUCCUUUACAUCUCUCUCCCUCUGGCUCCCCUGCUGACUGAGCAUCCAGCUCUUAGCUAGCUCUCCACAGGCAGAGCCAAGAGCAACUUUUUAAAUGAAAACAGCUUUUCCAGUUAUGACAUUACACCACACCCCAAAUUCUUCAUAGAAAUAUUGUUCUGAUAUGAAUAUGGCAUGACUAAGACAUGUUUUAUGCAAGAGGAGUCAUGUGAGGUAUCAUUGAAAAGGUUAUGAUCUACUGAAUGUGUUUAUCCAAUUUGUAUGCAUGUAUCAUUUUUGUAUCUGAAGCUAGGAAUAUUGAACAUGUAUCAGUAUUUCAAAUGUGCUACUCUGGGUAACACCCAUAACUAGCCCUUCAGGUACAACAAUGAAAAAGUCAGACAGGGCUGAUGGGCCAUCAGCAUAGACAAUGGACUGUGAAAGAGCUUAGUCUUCAUGUGGACGCUCCAGACAGCUUGUGAGUAAUGGCUGCUAUGACCCUGUAGAGAUAUGUGACUGAGUCACCUGGUACUGGACCCCACCUUGGAAUGCCAGUGUUUUUUCACUGGAAGACAAAGGGUUCCUGUCAUACACAAAAAGCUAUAUAAGGCAGGGGAGUGAUAUCAUCGUGGUUGUCGUCUGCCUCCCCACCCAAAAAGAUGCUGGGAAACACCUGAAAAUAAGAACUGAACUUGGGGGAAAAGAGUAGAGCCCAGGCUGGAAGGGUGUCUAGCCUGUGAGUAAGAAUACCUGAAGUUUCACGCUGCAUGCCAGUGCAGCUGGCUUCCAAGAACCUUUGCAAUCUGCCUGAAACAACAUUUAGGAUAAGUUUCAUAGUUUCAUAGAUACUAAGGUCAGAGGGACCAUUAUGAUCAUCUAGUCUGACCUCCUGCACAAUGCAGGCCACAGAAUUUCACCUACCCAUUCCUGCGAAAAACCUCUCACCUAUGUCUGAGCUAAUGAAGUCUUCAAAUCGUGGUUUAAAGACUUCAAGUAGCAGAGAAUCCUCCAGCAAGUGACCCGUGCCCCAUGCUACAGAGGAUGAGAAAUUACUAUUUGUAGCUAAUUUCUUUAGUGAUUCAAGCUUAGUUUAUGUGUUUUGUUUUAUUUGCUUAGUAAUCUGCUUUGUUUUGUUUGCUAUCCCUUAUAAUCACGUAAAAUCUGCCGUUUAUAGUUAA